rfam:Spinacia oleracea cultivar SynViroflay scaffold9682.1, whole genome shotgun sequence.
AACCUUUGAGCUCAAGUGGUAGAGCAAUGUGCAAUGACAUUGCACAUGGAUGUAGGUUCAAAUCCUACAUAGGUUG